rnacentral:rRNA from 1 species
CGGACGGGUGAGUAACGCGUGAGAAUCUAGCUUCAGGUUCGGGACAACAUUGGGAAACCGAUGCUAAUACCGGAUGUGCCGAGAGGUGAAAGGCUUGCUGCCUGAAGAAGAGCUCGCGUCUGAUUAGCUAGUUGGUGGUGUAAGGGACUACCAAGGCGACGAUCAGUAGCUGGUCUGAGAGGAUGAUCAGCCACACUGGAACUGAGACACGGUCCAGACUCCUACGGGAGGCAGCAGUGGGGAAUUUUCCGCAAUGGGCGAAAGCCUGACGGAGCAAUACCGCGUGAGGGAGGAAGGCUCUUGGGUUGUAAACCUCUUUUCUCAAGGAAGAAGUUCUGACGGUACUUGAGGAAUCAGCAUCGGCUAACUCCGUGCCAGCAGCCGCGGUAAUACGGAGGAUGCAAGCGUUAUCCGGAAUGAUUGGGCGUAAAGCGUCCGCAGGUGGUGGUGUGUGUCUAUUGUCAAAGCAUCAUGCUUAACAUGAUAAAGGCAGUAGAAACUACACGACUAGAGUGCGUUCGGGGCAGAGGGAAUUCCUGGUGUAGCGGUGAAAUGCGUAGAGAUCAGGAAGAACACCGGUGGCGAAAGCGCUCUGCUAGGCCGCAACUGACACUGAGGGACGAAAGCUAGGGGAGCGAAUGGGAUUAGAUACCCCAGUAGUC